GCGGCCACGGGGAGAGCUGCUGCCCGGUGCCUGCCCGCGCGGGGUUAUGCGAGGAAACACAGCCCAUCUGACUCACUGGGAGGGCAGCACCGACCCCCUCGCAGGCUUAUCCUGGAGGCAGACGCGGGGCGCGGGUGCUCCCGGGACCGGACCGAACCUGGGCACUACGGCUGGGGCUGAGUUGAUUUAUAAAUAAAGGCACAUUCGAUCCAAGA